GGGGGUAUAGCUCAGUUGGUAGAGCGUCUGCUUUGCAAGCAGAAUGUCUGCGGUUCGAAUCCGCAUGCCUCCACCA
rnacentral:tRNA from 1 species